rnacentral:rRNA from 1 species
CAGUAGCCGCGGGAAUACGAAGGGUGCAAGCGUUACUCGGAAUUACUGGGCGUAAAGCGUGCGUAGGUGGUGGUUUAAGUCCGUUGUGAAAGCCCUGGGCUUAACCUGGGAAUUGCAGUGGAUACUGGGUCACUAGAGUGUGGUAGAGGAUAGUGGAAUUUCCGGUGUAGCAGUGAAAUGCGUAGAGAUCGGAAGGAACAUCUGUGGCGAAGGCGACUAUCUGGGCCAACACUGACACUGAGGCACGAAAGCGUGGGGAGCAAACAGGAUUAGAUACCCCAGUAGUCCCUGUCUCUUAUAC